rnacentral:rRNA from 1 species
GAAACCUGCCCUUGAGCGGGGGAUAACAGUUCUAACGGACUGCUAAUACCGCAUGACGCCGGAGAUCGCAUGAUCUCUGGUUAAAGGAGGCCUCUGUAUAUGCUUCCGCUUAAGGAUGGUCCCGCGUCCUAUUAGCUUGUUGGUGGGGUAACGGCCUACCAAGGCGAUGAUGGGUAGCCGGCUUGAGAGAGUGGUCGGCCACACUGGGACUGAGAUACGGCCCAGACUCCUACGGGAGGCAGCAGUCGAGAGGCUUCGGCAAUGGGGGAAACCCUGACCGAGCGACGCCGCGUGGGUGAUGAAGGUCUUUGGACCGUAAAACCCUGUCAGGUGGGAUGAAACGCCAUUUAGUUAAUACCUGAGUGGCUUGACAGUACCACCAGAGGAAGCUCCGGCUAACUCCGUGCCAGCAGCCGCGGUAACACGGGGGGAGCAAGCGUUGUUCGGAUCCAUUGGGCGUAAAGAGCUCGUAGGCGGCUUCGUAAGUCAGAGGUGAAAGACCACGGCUCAACCGUGGAACCACCUUUGAAACUACGAAGCUUGAGGCAAGGAGAGGAAAGUGGAAUUCCUGGAGUAGCGGUGAAAUGCGUAGAUAUCAGGAGGAACACCGGUGGCGAA